UCACGAACCCGCCAUCCUCUUUGCUUUCGCGCGUCCAUGUGCUUCAGCACCCCUCGAAGACAAGCUCCUUCGUCUCUAUCAUUACUGUUCGUGAGGAGCUUCUCUUUUCUACUCGAUUAAUCCAUUCAUGGUUACGAAACCUGCCCGCGGGAAAUGUAUGCAUUCAAUUGAUCUUAGGAUGGUUGUAUUGUCCAUGUAGCUUCGAAUCGGACAGCGAAAUUUGCUAGGAGAG